GAUGAAGAACGUAGCGAAAUGCGAUAAGUAAUGUGAAUUGCAGAUUUCAGUGAAUCAUCGAAUCUUUGAACGCACCUUGCGCCUUGUGGUAUUCCACAAGUCAUGCCCGUUUGAGUAUCAUUAAAUCAUCAACUCUAAAACCUUUGUGGUUUUUUUUAGAGCUUGGUCUUGAGGGUUUUGCAGGCUUUUUUUUUUUUUUUCGAGUUUGCUCCCUUUAAAUGCAUUAGCGAGACUUCCCUAUGCUGAACCGUCUCUUUGACGUGAUAAUUAUCUGCGUCGAAUUUUGGUUCUCGUUGGGCUUGCUUCUAAUCGUCUGUUAAAGACAAAACGGAUUUGGGUGCAUAUAUGCGCCUUUUUCCAAAACCUUUUUUUGAUCUCAAAUCGGGUAGGACUACCCGCUGAACUUAAGCAUAUCAAUAAGCGGAGGA
rnacentral:misc_RNA from 1 species